rnacentral:hammerhead_ribozyme from 1 species
AUUUUGCUGACGAAUCUCAAAUAAGACGAAAUACAUAUCUUAGAU